CCUACGGGCGGCAGCAGUGAGGAAUAUUGGUCAAUGGGCGCGAGCCUGAACCAGCCAAGUAGCGUGAAGGAUGACUGCCCUACGGGUCGUAAACUUCUUUUAUAAAGGAAUAAAGUGAGGCACGUGUGCCUUUUUGUAUGUACUUUAUGAAUAAGGAUCGGCUAACUCCGUGCCAGCAGCCGCGGUAAUACGGAGGAUCCGAGCGUUAUCCGGAUUUAUUGGGUUUAAAGGGUGCGUAGAUGGGUUGUUAAGUCAGUUGUGAAAGUUUGCGGCUCAACCGUAAAAUUGCAAUUGAUACUGGCAGUCUUGAGUACAGGUGAGGUAGGAGGAAUUCGUGGUGUAGCGGUGAAAUGCUUAGAUAUCACGAAGAACUCCGAUUGCGAAGGCAGCUUACUAAACUGCCACUGACAUUGAUGCUCGAAAGUGUGGGUAUCAAACAGGAUUAGAUACCCCUGUAGUC
rnacentral:rRNA from 1 species